UUCACAUUUCCUCAUAACAUACUUAUAUUACUACUUUGUAAUACUAUAGCACUAUGAACAGUCCUGUAGGGAGCCUGAACUAUCCUUGAUCUUCAGGACCUGAUGUGCUGAAUGUCAAUAUCCAUCCGUUCACUGAGAUGAUCUUACCAGGCUCAAUGUCUUCUUAUCGCUUCAUGCAAAGGUCAUUUUCUCACUCUCUUUCAGUCCCAGCUGUCACACAGAGAAAACCCAAGACAGCAACAUGUUCUGGAAGCCAGUUUUAACUGAGCUCGUGAAUCUCCUGAAUAAUAGAGAAGAAAGAAAAAAGGAAAGAAUGUGGAGUGAUGAUAAUUCAGUUAGUUUAAUCCAGCUCAGUAAUUAAUUUCAAAGUGUGAUUUGGGAACUCCUGGGGUUCCCUAAGACCUUUUUUCGGAUCAUAACUAUUCUCCUAAUGAAACUAAGAUGUCAUUUGCUGGUUUUGCUUUUUUUGUCUUGGGAGUGUACAGUGAAGUUUUCCAGAGGCUAGAUAACAUAUGAUAGCAAAAUAUGAUAAAAACUGAGUACAGAAGCAAACAUGAAAAUCUACCUGUCUUCUAUUAAGUCAGCAAUUAGAGAUUUCAAAAAAUGUAAAACGA
rnacentral:lncRNA from 1 species